ensembl:lncRNA
UGGGACUCUUGUACCAGAAGAGGUGAAGGGCAGUAACAACUGAGGCCCUGCUUACGGAGGGAACUGCACUGCACCUCCCGGAGUCUGCCGUUUUCCGGAAGUCCAGGAUACCAGGCCAAAGCAGUAGGAUACAGGAGCUGCCAGAAGCAAAGAUCAGCAAGGCUAUAAAAGGACAAACAACCCAAGGCAAUCACCCUACAGAUGCUUAUCACAUCAGACCAACCAGGAAUCACAAAUUCAUAUUCAGAGAGAAGACAAGGUUUGUGCACCUGUCUUGAGAGAGAGAAAGAGCAAGGAAAAAGGAUGAAGCUUCAGGCAGACAAUGUUUUUACUUGUUAAUAAUAAUCAGAAAUGAAAAGGAGGAAAAGUAGAGAAUUAAGAAGGGAGAUCAUGAACUCCUUAUUGCUGAAUUCAGACUUAUAUUGAAGAAAGUGGGGAAACCACUGGACAAUUCAGGUGCAGUUUUGAAUGAAUUCUUCUGAGAAAGGCCUCAUUUUAUAGAAUUCAUGCCCUUCAUCCUUCAGAAACCUUCCAAGUCACAUCCAUGGCCUUAUUAAGCUCAAGUUUGAGUCAAUUCACUGUCACUAAACCAUUCGACUGCAAGCUCCAAGAGGGGAUUGAAAUACAAAAAUAGGAAGUCAAGAGACACCUGGAGUAACAGGCAAAUUUGGCCUUGGAGUACAGAAUGAGACAGGGCAAAGCAAACACCCUCUUCCAACAACACAAGAGAAGACUCUACACAUGGACAUCACCAGAUAUGGUGUUGGAGAAGACUCCUGAGAGUCUUUUGGACAGCAGGGAGAUGAAACCAGUGAAUCUUAAGGGAAAUCAACCCUGAAUACUCAUUGGAAGGACUGAUGCUGAAGCUGAAGCUGAACCUGAUGCAAACAGCUGACUCUCUGGAAAAGUCCUUGAUGAUGGGAAGAUUGAGGGCAGAAGGAGGAGAGGGCAUCAAAGGAUGAGCUGGCUGCUGGCAUCACUGAUGCAAUAGAUAUGAGCGUGGGCAAACUUUGGGAGAUGGUGAGGGACAGGGAGGCCUGGCGUGCUGCAGUCCCUGGGGUCACAGAAAGUCAGACAUCACUAGGCGAUUGAACAACAAUUCUAAUCUCUAUUAACAAUAUGUGCUAAUUUUUUGAAGGUACUUUUGCUCUUAUUAUGUGACAGACUACAUAUUUUAAAAUUUAC